CCUACGGGAGGCUGCAGUGGGGAAUAUUGGGCAAUGGACGCAAGUCUGACCCAGCAACGCCGCGUGAAGGAAGAAGGCUUUCGGGUUGUAAACUUCUUUUAAGGGGGAAGAGCAGAAGACGGUACCCCUUGAAUAAGCCACGGCUAACUACGUGCCAGCAGCCGCGGUAAUACGUAGGUGGCAAGCGUUGUCCGGAUUUACUGGGUGUAAAGGGCGUGGAGCCGGAGGGGCAAGUCAGAUGUGAAAUCCGCGGGCUCAACUCGCGAACUGCAUUUGAAACUGCUUCCCUUGAGUAUCGGAGAGGUAAUCGGAAUUCCUAGUGUAGCGGUGAAAUGCGUAGAGAUCAUACAGAACACCGAUUGCGAAGGCAGCUUACCAAGCUACUUCUGACGUUGAGGCACGAAAGCGUGGGGAGCAAACAGGAUUAGAUACCCCAGUAGUC
rnacentral:rRNA from 1 species